rnacentral:snoRNA from 1 species
ACUAUCAAUGAUGAUGAGGUUGUUGCUCAUAUACUCAAUGGUUUAGAUUUUGACUAUCAUCCCUUUGUUUCUUCUAUGAUGGGUCGUUCAGGAGAUCUCUCGCUUUCGGAACUCUAUUCGCUUCUUAUGGAAUAUGAUC